rnacentral:rRNA from 1 species
CCUACGGGUGGCAGCAGUGGGGGCUAUUGCACAAUGGGGGAAACCCUGAUGCAGCGACGCCGCGUGGGUGAAGAAGCGCCUCGGCGCGUAAAGCCCUGUCAGCAGGGAAGAAAAUGACGGUACCUGAGGAAGAAGCCCCGGCUACCUACGUGCCAGCAGCCGCGGUAAUACGUAGGGGGCAAGCGUUAUCCUGAUUGACGGGGUGUAAAGGGGGCGCAGACGGCGAUGCAAGCCAGUAGUGAAAGCCCUGGGCCCACCCCCGGGACUGCUCUUGGAACUGCGUGGCUAUAGUGCAGGAGGGGCAGGCGGAAUUCCUGGUGCAGCGGUGAAAUGCGUAGAUAUCAGGAGGAACACCGGUGGCGAAGGCGGCCUGCUGGACUGCAACUGACGUUGCGGCCCGAAAGCGUGGGGAGCAAACAGGAUUAGAUACCCCAGUAGUC